AGUACCUCCACACCUUAUAAGCAAAUGAAAAAGAGACACUUUUACCCUUGAUUCUGAGAUGUUGAGGAAUGUAGGUCCAAGGAUGAUCUUAGAAAAAAACUCAAGGUAACUAUUAAUGAAAUUAAAAAUAGGCCAUGUGCCUUCACAAAAAGCAGAGAAAACAAGAAAAAUAGAAACAAAGAAGGUUUAAAAAUGAAGCUAAAAACACUAAAUAAACUAAAUGAAUGCAUUAAAUCAUAAAUAAAGUGUAUUAAAAUCUCUGUGAAAUUGUUAAAAAAAAACCCGGUGUCAUUAAUAUUACAUUCUUUCCUGUUUCUGUCACUUGCUGACUUGUUUCUUAGUAUUGUUCUGUAACUCCAUUAAGCUUCCGUUAUCCAAUCUGCUAAAUGGGAAUAAUAAAACCUGCGUUGUUCAGAAGACUAAGUCUUUAUGUAAACAAGAUUCAAUCCUUGAAGAAAAAGCACUGAUUCAAAGAGCCUAUAGAUAUUUAAUGGCCAAUCAGUAUUGCUCAGAGGGGAUCUCCUUGGCUUCAUGCAUCAACUGGGUAAGUACUCAAUAGGUUUUUAUUACGUUCCGAGCCCUGUACUCCUUUAGCCACUUCUAGAAUCCAUUU
rnacentral:lncRNA from 1 species